rnacentral:lncRNA from 1 species
GGCUCAGUGGUUAACAAAUCUGUCUAGUAUUCAUAGUUUGAUCCCUGGCCUCACUCAGUGGGUUAAGGAUCCGGCGUUGCCAUGAGCUGUGGUGUAGGUCACAGACAUGGCUCGGAUCCUUCCCGCUGGCCUAUACCACAGCCACAGCAAUGCCAGAUGUGAGCUGUGUCUGCAAGCUACACCUCAGCUCACAGCAAUGUGGAUCCUUAACCCAUAACGAGUCAGUAAACUUAAAGUUACAUCAACAGAAAUUAUUCAGUCUGUACUGUGGAGAGAAAACAGAUUUUUUUAUAAGCAAAUAAGGGCUUAAGAACCUGUAGGAUGACAGCACAGGUGUUCUGGAAGAUAGGAGAGUGCAGUAUGAAGAAAUAAUGCCUGAAAAUGUCACAAGUUCAGCAAAAAACCAUAAACCUACAGAUUCAAGAAGCGGAGUGAAUCCUGAAUAGGAUAAAGCUAAAGAAAUCCAUGAACAGACAAAUAAAGUAUUUAAAUUAAAUACUAAAUACAAACUGCUGAAAACUAAAUAUAUUUUAAGAAAAAAAUCUUGAAAGAAGCCAAAGAAAAAUAAUGCAAUACCUCCAUGUGAACAAUUCAAAUGAUGGCAGAUUUUUCAACAGAAACCAUAGAGUCCAGAGGGAAGUGGCCCAAUAUUUUUAUUUAUUUAAAAAAACUUUUUUUUUUUUUUCUUUUCCAGGCUGUACCCGCCACAUAUGGAAGUUCCCAGGCUAGGGGUCGAAUCAGAGCUGCAGCUGCCAGCCUACACCACAGCCACGCAACACCAGAUCGGAGCAGCAUCUGCAGCCUGCACCACAGCUCAUAGCAACACCGGAUCCUUGACCCACUGAGCAAGGUCAGAGAUCAAACCCACAUCCUCAUGGAUACUAGUCGGGUUCAUUUUCUCCAAGCCACAACGGGAACUCCCCGAUAUUUUUAAAGUGCUGAAAGAAAAGCACUGUCAGCCCAGAAUUCUAUAUUCACUGAAAAGAUCUUUCAGGAAUGAAAGUGAAACAAAGACACCCCCAGAUUAAGUAAAGCUAAGAAAAUUCAUGGCUCUACAGAACUGCUCUGUAAGAAUUGCUAAAGGAAAGGCUUCAGACAAAACGGAACUGAACAGAAGGAUGUUCGGAACAUCAGGAAUAAAGGAGGAAAAACAGAAAUGAUAAGUGUCUGGGUAAAUAUAGGCUAUUCUCCUCUUGAGGGCUCUAAAAUAUGUUUGACAGUUGAAAGGGAAAAAAGUAACAUUAUUGACGGAAUGUUCUCUCUUUCUUUUUGUUUUUGUUUUGUUUUGUUUUGUUUUGUUUUUUGUCUUUUUAGGGCCGCACCCGUGGCAUACGGAGGUUCCCAGGCUAGGGGUCCGAUCAGAGCUACAGCUGCCAGCCUACACCACAGUCAUAACAAUGCCAGAUCUGAGCCACAUCUGCUACCCACAACACAGCUCAUGGCAACGUCAGAUCCUUAACCCACUGAGUGGGCCAGGGAUGGAACCCUGAUCCUCAUGAAUGCUAGUCAGGUUCCUUAACCGCUGAGCCAUGUAGGGAACUCUUACAACUCAAUGUUUUGUUUUGUUUUUUAAAUCCCAAACAACCCAAUUAAAAAAUGGGCGGAAGGUCUGAAUAGACAUUUUUCCAAAGGAGACAUACAAAUGGCCAACAGGAACAUGAAAAGAUGCUCAACAUUGCUAAUCAUCAGAGAAAUGCAAAUCAAAACCACAAUGAAAUAUCACCUCACACUUGUCAGAAUGGCUAUCAUCAAAAAGACCAAAAAUAACAAAGUUUGAGGAGGAUGUGGAGAAAGGGGUAUCCUAGUUACAUUGUUGGUGGGAAUGUAAAUUGAUGCAGCUACUAUGGAAAACAAGAUGAGGAUUCCUCAGAGAACUAAAAAUAGAACUACUAUAUGAUUGAGCAAUUCCACUCCUAGAAAUGUAUCUGGAGAAAAUGAAAGCCCUAAUUUGAAAAGAUACAUGCACCCCAGCGUUUAUAGCAGCAUUAUCUACAAUAGCCAAGAUAUGGAAGCAACCUAAGUGUCCAUCAACAGAUGAAUGGAUAAAGAAGAGGUGGUAUGUAUAGAUAAUGGAAUAUUACAGCCAUCAAAAAAUGAAAUUUACAAGAAUUUAUAAGGAUAUAUUGUACAACACAGUAGAAAUAGCCAACAUUUUACAACAGGUUUAAAUGGAGUAUAGUCUAUCAAAAUCUUGAAUCACUAUGUUGUACACCUGAAACUAAUAUUGUAAAUCAAAUAUACUUCAAAUUAAACAAAUAAUAAAAUGAGUUUGUUGUAGACCACAUAUGUUUUUUUCCAUUCUGCCAAGCUCUAUUUUUGAUUGGACAGUUUAAUUCAUUUGCAGGUAGAGUCAUUACUGAUAUAGAGCAAUGUACUUUCGUCAUUUUCCCAUUUGCUUUCCAUGGAUCUUUAUGGCUUUUUAGUCUCUCAUUUCCAUAUUACAUUACAUUUUUUCGUGGGUAGUUGAAUUUUUGAUAAUGAAAACCUUAUAUUUCUUUCUCAUUUCUCUUUGUGUAUAUUCCAUAGCUAUGUUCUUUGUGGUUACAAUGGGAAUUACAUUUGACAUUCGAAAGUUCUUACACUCCAAUUUGAAUUUACAAGAGUUUAACUUCAACCACAUACAAAACCUCUCCUCUGUUACAGCUCUCUGUUCCUACCCCCUUUUGGCUGUCAAUGUCAUAAAAUCACAUCUUUAUACAUUGUUUAUACAUUAUACAUUGUUUAUACAUUGUUUAUACAUAGUUUAUACAUAAACUAAUAAUUCUUUCUUACAUUUUAGCACCACACCUGUGGGCAUAUAGAAGUUCCUGGGCUAGGGGUUGAAUCAAAGCUACAGCUGCCAGCCUACACUGCAGCCACUGCAAUGCCAGAUCCAAGCUGUAUCUGGGACCUAUGCCCCAGUUUGUGGAAUGCUGGAUCCUUAAUCCACUGGGUGAGGCCAGGGGCUGAAUCCCCAUCCUCCUGGAUAUUAGUCAGGUUCUUAACCCACCGAGCCACAACGGGAACUCCAAGCUAAUAAUUCUUUUAAAUGCUUUAGUCUCUUAAAUUAUGUAGGCAACGAAAUGUGGGGAGAGGCUUGCAACAAUGAAGGGAGGCCGCCUGCCUCUUUGUCUACACCUCUAUGACCAGAAGCAGCAAUCCGUGAUCAGGGCGCAGAUCCUCCAUAUUUGGAGGACAAGGUGUUUUUUGGUCCACCCUGGUCCUACAGGCUGAAUGCAAGCUGCUCCAAGAACAGAUGCACAGCUGCCUGCCACAGGGCUGAGGCUGGAGGAUGGGGAGCCGCUACUGUGCUGAGAGCUGAAAUUUACUAAAAUUAGCCACGAUGUACCAUCCAAACCUUCCCUUGGAAGUUGUCAGCCUUCAGUAGGCUCCAGAGUUCCAAAAUAGUUACAUCAGACAGAUCCUGCCAGUACAAUCGUUGUCCAGAUGGGGAGACAGACAGAUUCCUGGGGUUUCAUACUCCACCAUCUUCCAAGAAUCCUCCUGAUGUUUCUUUUGGGGGCAUGAAAAUGUUCUAAAAUUGAUUAGAGUGGUGAUUGUAGAUAUCCGUGAAUAUACUAAAAAUUAUUGACUCGUACACUUUAAACAUGUGAAUUAUAUGAUACAUGAAUUAUAUUACAAUAAAGCUGUUACCAAAAAACAAAAAGAGGGAGUUGCCAUUGUGGCUCAGUGGGUUAAGAACCCAACUAGUAUCCAUGAGGAUGCGGGUUCCAUCCCUGGCCUCGCUCAGGGGAUUAAGGAUCUGGCAUUGCCACAAACUGUGGUGUGGGUCACAGAUGCAGCUUGGGUCUGGAGUGGCUGUGGCUGUGGCUGUGGCUGGCAGCCACAGCUUCGAGUCAACCCCUAGCCUGGGAAUUUCCAUGUGUUGAAAGUGUGGCCCUGAAAAGAAAAAAAGAAAGUGUUGCUCUUUCCAUUAGGGAAGUAGUUCGAUGUAAUCAGCCCCUAUCAUCAAACUGGCUGAUCCUCUUGAGAAAGGCGGCAUGCCAGGGGUUCAGUGUUGGUAUCUGCUGCUGGCAGACUGGGCACUUACCAGUGGUAGGAUCCAGAUCAGCCUUGGUGGGUGGAAGUCCUUGCUAAUUCUAUGUACGCCCUCCAUCACUGCCACCUUGGCUACACUGAUAGUGAGCUUACUGGACAAAUCUAGGGUGUAUUGGAGAAGGUGGUUGACUGAUGUCCACACAGUGGGCUACCUGAUCUUCCUAAAAAUCUCAUUUUCUGAGAUCCCUCUUUGAUGAACAUUCACAUGGGGCACAAAUAUCCUCCCACUCUGUAGAGGUCUCUCCACACACACGUCUUCUCCAGACUCUGCAGCAGCCCCUGACCAUCUAGCUGGACCAUUCGUCACAACACAUGAAUUGAUGUAGAGGAUAUUUCCAGACAUCUCUCCUUCCGGUCAAAAUGGACAACCAAGUACAUUGCUCAAAUUUCUAUCUACCGAGAAACUUUCCCAUUGCCUCUAUCCCUCAGAGGUGUCCCAGUGGGGCUGUAAGUGAUUCAGUUGUCCACUUGGGGGUCCUGCCGGCAUGUCCCUCAGAACCAUAUGUAAACUAGGUCUGAGUUUUCUCUUCCUCAGUCAACUGGCCACAGGGCGACUCGCUCUGAGCCAUCUGUGUGGUUUGAGAGAGAGAAGACCAUGAAUCAGGAAUAAGGGAUCUGGAAUGGAUUAAGAAGAUGUGUUGAAGUUCCCGUGGUGGCGCAGCGGUUAAUGAAUCCGACUGGGAACCAUGAGGUUUCAGGUUCGAUCCCUGGCCUUGCUCAGUGGGUUAAGGAUCCAGCGUUGCGUGUGAGCUGUGUUGCAGGUCACAGACACGGCUCGGAUCUAGCAUUGCCAUAGCUCUGGCGUAGGCUGGCAGCAAUAGCUCCGAUUCAGCCCCUAGCCUGGGAACCUCCAUAUGUCAUGGGUGCAGCCCUAGAAAAGGCAAAAAGACCAAAAAAAAAAA